rnacentral:rRNA from 1 species
AGUGAACGCUGGCGGUAGGCCUAACACAUGCAAGUCGAACGGCAGCACAGUAAGAGCUUGCUCUUACGGGUGGCGAGUGGCGGACGGGUGAGGAAUACAUCGGAAUCUACUUUUUCGUGGGGGAUAACGUAGGGAAACUUACGCUAAUACCGCAUACGACCUACGGGUGAAAGCAGGGGAUCUUCGGACCUUGCGCGAUUGAAUGAGCCGAUGUCGGAUUAGCUAGUUGGCGGGGUAAAGGCCCACCAAGGCGACGAUCCGUAGCUGGUCUGAGAGGAUGAUCAGCCACACUGGAACUGAGACACGGUCCAGACUCCUACUGGAGGCAGCAGUGGGGAAUAUUGGACAAUGGGGGCAAGCCUGAUCCAGCCAUACCGCGUGAGUGAAGAAGGCCUUCGGGUUGUAAAGCCCUUUUGUUGGGAAAGAAAAGCAGCAGGUUAAUACCCCGCUGUUCUGACGGUACCCAAAGAAUAAGCACCGGCUAACUUCGUG